GACGAACGCUGGCGGCGUGCUUAACACAUGCAAGUCGAACGGAAAGGCCCUGCUUUUGUGGGGUGCUCGAGUGGCGAACGGGUGAGUAACACGUGAGUAACCUGCCCUUGACUUUGGGAUAACUUCAGGAAACUGGGGCUAAUACCGGAUAGUAGCUCCUGCUGCAUGGUGGGGGUUGGAAAGUUUCGGCGGUUGGGGAUGGACUCGCGGCUUAUCAGCUUGUUGGUGGGGUAGUGGCUUACCAAGGCGUUGACGGGUAGCCGGCAUGGGAGGGUGACCGGCCACAUUGGGACUGAGAGACGGCCCAGACGCCUACGGGAGGCAGCAGGGGGGAAUAUUGCACAGUGGGCGGAAGCCUGAGGCAGCAACGCCGCGUGCGGGAUGAAGGCCUUCGGGUUGUAAACCGCUUUCGCCUGUGACGAAGCGUGAGUGACGGUAAUGGGUAAAGAAGCACCGGCUAACUACGUG
rnacentral:rRNA from 1 species